UGCGGCCUGGGGCAGCGCAAACC
rnacentral:miRNA from 1 species